AUGGGGAGGUCGCCGUGCUGCGACAGGCGGACCGUGAAGCGGGGGGCGUGGUCGCGGGAGGAGGACGCCAUCCUCACCGUCUUCGUCCAGAGGUUCGCCAAUGCCGGCAAUUGGAUGACGCUGCCUCACAAAGCAGGGCUUAACCGCUGCGGCAAGAGCUGCCGCCUACGGUGGCUCAACUACCUCCGCCCGGCGCUCCGGCACGGCCGCUUCACCGACGAGGAGGACAGCCUCAUAUUGUCCCUCUACGCCGACAUCGGAAGCAAGUGGUCCGUGAUCGCCGCCAAGCUCCCCGGCCGAACGGACAACGACGUCAAGAACCACUGGAACACCAAGCUCAAGAAGAGGCACCUUCUGGCCAUGGCGCCGUCACCAACUCCUCCUACCGCGGCCACCGACAGCCCUUCCGCCUCCGACUCCGAUGAAUCCUCCCUCCCCCCUCCACCUCUCGACGAAGCCGCCGUCGCCACGGUGGACCACGGCGGAGAGCUCACGCACAGAUCGGAGGAGCUGUACGCCGAGCUCAUGGGGCUCAUCCAACAGCAGCCCACCAACGGGGACGUGAGGUCGUCAUCGUCGUCGUCGUUGCCAUCGACACCGACGGCUGGUGCAAGUUCUGCCGGCGUCACCAGCGCUGGGUGGCCCGUAGACGACAAAGAGUUCUUGCCGGAGUCCAGCGGGAGCAGCAUGGUCGUUGACCUUGACGAUCCUUGCGCUGCUCACGCAUUCGGUGCGACGACUUUCCAAGACUUGGCCUCGUCUUAUGACGAGAUCAUAGGGACGGAAGGGUUACUCUACUACUAG
rnacentral:rRNA from 1 species